rfam:Perkinsus marinus ATCC 50983 gcontig_1104296309280, whole genome shotgun sequence.
GGUUCUAUAGUGUAGUGGUUAGCAUUCAAAGCUCUUAUUCCAGCAACUCGGGUUCAAGUCCCGAUAGAACCU